rnacentral:rRNA from 1 species
GUGGGGGAUAUUGCACAAUGGGGGAAACCCUGAUGCAGCAACGCCGCGUGAAGGAAGAAGGUCUUCGGAUUGUAAACUUCUGUCCUCAGGGAAGAUAAUGACGGUACCUGAGGAGGAAGCUCCGGCUAACUACGUGCCAGCAGCCGCGGUAAUACGUAGGGAGCGAGCGUUGUCCGGAUUUACUGGGUGUAAAGGGUGCGUAGGCGGAUAGGCAAGUCAGUGGUGAAAUCUAUGGGCUUAACCCAUAAACUGCCAUUGAAACUGUUUAUCUUGAGUGGAGUAGAGGCAGGCGGAAUUCCCGGUGUAGCGGUGAAAUGCGUAGAGAUCGGGAGGAACACCAGUGGCGAAGGCGGCCUGCUGGGCUUUAACUGACGCUGAGGCACGAAAGUGUGGGUAGCAAACAGGAUUAGAAACCCUAGUAGUCC